rnacentral:rRNA from 1 species
ACGGGAGGCAGCAGUGGGGAAUAUUGCACAAUGGGGGAAACCCUGAUGCAGCGACGCCGCGUGAGCGAAGAAGUAUUUCGGUAUGUAAAGCUCUAUCAGCAGGGAAGAAAAUGACGGUACCUGACUAAGAAGCUCCGGCUAAAUACGUGCCAGCAGCCGCGGUAAUACGUAUGGAGCAAGCGUUAUCCGGAUUUACUGGGUGUAAAGGGAGCGUAGACGGAACAGCAAGUCUGAUGUGAAAGGCAGGGGCUCAACUCCUGGACUGCAUUGGAAACUGCUGAUCUUGAGUGUCGGAGAGGUAAGCGGAAUUCCUAGUGUAGCGGUGAAAUGCGUAGAUAUUAGGAGGAACACCAGUGGCGAAGGCGGCUUACUGGACGAUAACUGACGUUGAGGCUCGAAAGCGUGGGGAGCAAACAGGAUUAGAUACCCUGGUA